rnacentral:rRNA from 1 species
AUGAACGCUAGCGACAGGCCUAACACAUGCGAGUCGAGGGGCAGCACAAGGAGCAAUCUGAGGUGGCGACCGGCGCACGGGUGAGUAACACGUAUGCAACCUGCCUGUAAGCGGGGAAUAACCCGUUGAAAGACGGACUAAUACCGCAUAAUACUAAAUUACUGCAUGGUAAUUUAUUUAAACAUUUAUGGCUUACAGAUGGGCAUGCGCAUGAUUAGCUAGUUGGAGAGGUAACGGCUCCCCAAGGCAACGAUCAUUAGGGGUUCUGAGAGGAAGGUCCCCCACACUGGUACUGAGACACGGACCAGACUCCUACGGGAGGCAGCAGUGAGGAAUAUUGGUCAAUGGACGAGAGUCUGAACCAGCCAAGUCGCGUGCAGGAAGAAUGUCCUAAUGGAUUGUAAACUGCUUUUGCAGGGGAAUAAAGUGCAUCACGUGUGAUGUUUUGUAUGUACUCUGCGAAUAAGGAUCGGCUAACUCCGUGCCAGCAGCCGC